GAAAAUUGAAAAUGUAAUAUGUGCAUAAAACGUUGCGUUUAAGCGUCCUUGUUCCCCUCACCAUCAAUACCAAGCUCAGGGCAGGUGCAGCAGUGCUUUCCACUUGAAAUCCUGGCAGCCGCAGUCGCAGCCGUCUCAAUCGAUCCUUGACACAAUAACCAUUUUCUCGAAGCUACCAAGAAUGAAUAAGAAAUUUGGAGCAGGGAAGCAGCCCACUGGCACUCCUUCACUGGGCUGGUCAUGCGUUGUUGUCAUCAUUUCACUUCUUACUGGCGCCUCCAUCGUUCACAACAUUUAUAAACCUGAUCUCACAUUGCCCCCGGUAGAUGGCGUUGAUACAGCCAAGAAGAGUCAAACUGAAACAAGGAAAGAAUGAACUCUCUUUUGCUGAUAUACAAUUGUAUCUUGAUUUCAAUUUUAGGGUGUUUCGCUAUGAAGUUUUUCUGCUUCUGUAUUUGGUUAAAUGGUGUCAUUUAAUUGGUAUUUGGUUGAACGGAGAAAAACAUCAAAGCUUCAACUUUUAAGCCUUUCCAUCUAAAUACUUUCUACCACCUUGACGAUGUAAACAAACUUGAGCAUCUUGAAUGUUAUUUUCAAGGAGAAGAUCAAUCCAAUUCUGCAUCCAC
rnacentral:misc_RNA from 1 species